AGUGUGUGUGAACUGAACAUUGGAGGCUGCAAGAAAUUAAACAAAACAAGAAAAAACAAGCAGCUUCCAGUCUAUCCAAAUGUGCAACAUAGUCAUCACUCGUGAUGACACGAGCCUGCAGUAGGACCCAGCGGCGUACCCCUCCUGGUUUGUCCCCAAAUGUGGGCAUCAUAAGAAUUUCACAAAUUGGCAAUGAGCUGCUGGGCACAGCAGAAGGAAUGGCAGCCUGUGGAUUGGAUGAGGUGGGCGUGGUGGAGGAGGUUGGCAUGGCGGAGGAGGCCGCUGCAGUGGAAGAGGUGGGCCCAACAGAGGGAACAGCCUCAGGAGCAGUGGAGGAGGCGGUGGGCACAGCAGCUCGACUGGGCACGAGCUUUACGAUCUGGAGAGAAAUUGAUCAGAGGAUGGAUGCCAGCCUUCCUGAAGCCAGCCAUGAUGUUGUCUGGGGUGACAGCCUUCUCAUAGGCAUGCUUCAGCACUGAGGAGAAGUGCUUUUUCCCCACCACCAUGUCCCCCCUCACCAAGCCCAUCUGGCUGGCCAGAGUGCUGAACACCGCUUUGAGGGGGUUGAAUAUGCUGAUGUCAAGUGGCUGCAGCAUGUGUGUGGUGUGUGGGGGGAGCAGCAGGAUCUCCACCUGAUCAGCUCGGCAUCUGUUGAUGAUGU